GAUUAGGUGGCCGAGGGUUUAAGGCGAUGGACUGCUAAUCCUUCGGGUUUCACCGCGUGAGUUCGAAUCUCAUCCUGAUCG
rnacentral:tRNA from 1 species